UCUGUUCGUGAUGUUCAGGGUGCCAUGUCGACAGUGAAGGAUAUGGAUAAUUGGGAAGCCGGUGCGAUGCCGGCGCUGCCCCCGCAACGGUAGCGGAACUGCAAAUCUCGACGGACAUCAUCGGGGGAGAAUACCCCGGGAAGGUCCGAAAGGAUGGUUCCGAAGUCCGGAAACCAGCCUUGAACGGAAUAACCCG
rnacentral:ncRNA from 1 species